GAAAGCAUAGCCACUUUGUUGCUAGUUAUGAUCUAAGGAGGAGGCUGAGUGGCAGAACAGAACAGCGGAAUGGUGAGUCAUUUAUGGGUUUCCACAUUAACAAGAGCUAGAAAUCAAGAUCUGACGUGGACUUCCAAAGCCUGAUUGAGACAGAAACUUGAACCAGUAUUUUGCUACUCACCACAGGCAGACCCAGGAUACUACAGAAUUUGGAGUACACAAAAGGAGAAUGCCACUACAUUAACGUGAUAAGGAGGGCUAGGGAUUUACAGGCCAAUGAGGAGCAACCAAUACAAACAAAAGGACACUCAUUAUCAGCGAAAUGUUGAGAGAUCAUUUGCUGCUCAGCCACAAUAACCUUCAAUUUUUUCAGAUCCUCAACCCAGGCAUAUAUUGAGAUAUUUGUUUCUUGUGUUCGUCUCAUUAAUGUAUUGAGUCGCACCACUGCUGUUGUGAUCCAAGCAGUAGGUCCUGACUCAUAGUGAAAGAUCAAUGCAACAGACUAUUACAGAUGAAAUGCCAGAAGACUGCUACAUCUUACCACUACAUCAUGUUGCCUCAAACACAGUUAUUUCUUCCGGUGGAGUUAGUUUGCAUUUUCUAAUAUGGGUAAUCAAGUGGCACAAGACAGGAUGAUGUGCGUCACAAAGUUAAGCCCAAGCAAGGUUCAACAAGCUAUUUUAAUAAUACAAAAAAGAUAGCAAACAGCAUCAGCUUCCAUAAAACAUGCACUGUUAUACAACAUAGGAAUGUUUGUGUCAUGGGUAGUGGAGAUAAUCCCUAUGGAUAAAUGGUUAGACAAAGGGGCUGAUAUCUAAUGGCAAAACAGAAGGGCAGAGUUAAAACUUGUAUUUUAACUCUGUGUGUCAUGUUGUAUGCAUUUCAAUGCUGUUUUAUCUCUUGUUUUAACAUUGUUGUACUCCACCUCAAGCAACAGGGUGAGGCGGGUAAUAAAUGAACUAUAUUAUUAUUGUUAUUAUUAUUAUUAUUAUUAUUAUUAUUAUUAUUAUUUACAUUAUAUUACACACAUUAGAAUUGAUUUGUCAUCCCUACAAAAGAAGGCACUGUGAAAUGCCAAAAAUUUAACUCCUGUCACCUAUCCCUCCAGUGAGAACAGAGUACAGACCUGCACCUAGGAUAAAAACAAAUGUUCAUGACUGUAACCUAUAACCAGUGGCCUCAAAAAUAGUUCUAGUGAAGUAAAAUGAUCUUCUUUAACUGAAUUGUGACUUGAGAGUAAUAUGGGUGGUAAAAAUAUUGGAGCUAACAGAAAGGAAAGAAUUAACCACUUAAUUGUACUACAGGACAAAUGAUGAAUUCUUAGAAGAAUAAGAACCAUUUUACAAGAGAGAUGAAUUCUAUUUGCAGGUUUAAAGACAUAAUAUUGGGAUUUUAACUAUUUUUCUAAAUACAAGCAGAAGUAUAUAUUUUGCAGCAUAUUAGGUGGAAAUGGUAAUAUUAUAUGUAAACUAAUGAAGGGAAAACGAUGAAUCAUUUUGAUUAUCUGUUUAUGUAUAUUUGUAUUAUGUUUGUAUUUGUAUUUGUAGAUGGUAAAAUAUUUAUCUGUUUGAUAACUUGUUUAGUUAUUUAUUGUCAAGAAACGAUGUGUCUAUAUGUUUAUUUUUUUAAAUACUCUAAUAAAAACUAAAUAUUUCUGUUUGCUUUUAAGAAAUAUAUUCUGUUUGUUGCAAAAUUCUCCCAAUAUUUUUGUUUCAUCCAGGUUGAAACAGAAUCCAAUGUAAAAGUAUUUUUUAAAAACCAGUUGCAAAGAACAAAAAAUAAAAUUAGCUUCCUGUUGGAAUGAAGUCAGAAAAGGAAAUAUUUUAACCUAAGGAGCCUACUUAACUGAGAAAUGCUAUCAAAA